UACGAAGGGGGCUAGCGUUGCUCGGAAUGACUGGGCGUAAAGGGCGCGUAGGCGGACAGCUUUGUCAGGCGUGAAAUUCCAGGGCUCAACCUUGGGGCUGCGUUUGAGACGGGUUGUCUUGAGUGGAGAAGAGGGUCGUGGAAUUCCCAGUGUAGAGGCGAAAUUCGUAGAUAUUGGGAAGAACACCGGUGGCGAAGGCGGCGACCUGGUCUUUUACUGACGCUGAGGCGCGAAAGCGUGGGGAGCAAACAGG
rnacentral:rRNA from 1 species